rnacentral:rRNA from 1 species
GUGAGGAAUUUUCCGCAAUGGGCGAAAGCCUGACGGAGCAAUGCCGCGUGAAGGAUGAAGGCCUAUGGGUUGUAAACUUCUUUUCUCAGAAAAGAAUUAUGACGGUAUCUGAGGAAUAAGCAUCGGCUAACUCUGUGCCAGCAGCCGCGGUAAGACAGAGGAUGCAAGCGUUAUCCGGAAUGAUUGGGCGUAAAGCGUCUGUAGGUUGUUUAAAAAGUAUUCUGUCAAAGAUGAGGGCUUAACCGUAGAUAGGCAGACUAAACUUUUAAGCUAGAGUUUGGUAGAGGCAGAGGGAAUUCCCGGUGGAGCGGUGAAAUGCGUAGAUAUCGGGAGGAACACCAAAGGCGAAGGCACUCUGCUGGGCCAAUACUAACACUGAGAGACGAAAGCGAGGGGAGCAAAUGGGAUUAGAAACCCCUGUAGUCC